ensembl:lncRNA
UCCAGAUGGUGUCUCCCCAUAGAAGAAUGUAUUUGACUUUAAACUUUAUUAGAAUGUACACCUUUCAAGCAUUGGGAGAUCCUCCCCACUCUCUGUAAUGUUAACUACAUUUCAAAGAGUUCCUUCCCAGGCCAGGGAAAAACCCUGGGUCAUUUGAGUAAUCUCAAAAAUAUAUGUCUACCCACUACUUACAAGCUUAACAGUCAUAGUUACAGAAACAUCAGCGAACCGCUAGCUAGCUGAAGAAGAAGUACUGAAAUGUGUGACAUGCCCUUUGUUUGAACUAAGCCCUCAUUCUCCCUCAGUCAGCCACCAGGUAUCUUAUGUCAGUAUCAACACUUAUUUGUGGGCUACUAACAUUGCUUGAUUUAAAGUGUCAAUAGAACUACUGUCCUUACAUUGAAAAGUGAAGGACAAGGACCUCUGGAUGUUGAAAAGUAACACUUGUAAACUCUGUCUGUAAUGACAUGCAGAUUCUACUUCCUGACCUCGAUCUGAUGGGAAUAUGUGAAGUUUACAGUUUUGAACAAAGUCACAAGUCAGAUUUAAUAACCUUAACCCACGUGUCAGUGUCAGUGCCAGUUGACACACCCCAAGGCGUGAUGUUCAAAGUAUAUUUUCCUACAGCGCUCCGGUUUUAACAGAUGACCGAAGAGAAGCUGGGGAUCAGUUGCAGGCAUCUCAGGAAUUCAUAAAGAAAUCUGCUAAUUUUCUGUUUGUCAAACACGACAGCUCACAGAACGAGUUUAAGCAGUGAAAUUGAAAACAGUGUUUGAAUUGCUGAGCCACAAGUUCCACAUCCUCUUGGGGUAUAUUGAUGCUGCAGCGCAAAUUAUUACUCAAACAAGAUUCGUCCGAUAUCGCCAUAAAAACCUGCUCAGCCCAAAAAGAUGUCCGUUCAAAGAAGACAUGCCAUGAUGAUUUAUUUGUAUCUGUUACUCAACUUCGUUCUGUGUGAGGAAGCCAGGGCCAGGCCUUGCCUGAUGGUGUGAGACCCGAGGGGGACAGACUGCACUUCCUCGAGUUGAACUCUGACCUUAACGGCGAGUAUAGCUGUGAGGUCACAAACCCAUAUGGGACGGCUGUGUACUCCAUAUAUCGCCACAUAGUUGACCCCGACGACACCCACAAUGAACUUUGACUGCUGCCCUGAUUUGUCAUUGUGGCUUUCUCUGGACCUGGCUGAAGAAGUCCAAAGUAUCAUGUCUGGCUCAAGUCUGGCUCUGGCUUGUAAUAUACUAGACUUCACAUGCAUAUACUUUCAUUCAUAUACUUGCUUUAUGCAUUAUUUAUUUAUCUUUGAUAUUCCAUCCAUUGCAAGCAGCUUCUUAGCCAAAUCCCAGUGCACUUGAGUGAUGUUAGAACAUACACACCUUCCUCUAUAAUGAGAGGUAUCCAUGAGUGCAUGCACAACUCAAAAUAGAUUGGCUACAGUAAAUAGUGAAAAAUGAAAAAUAUAAGCAGCCUCAUGUAAUGCACAGUAUGGUGUAUGAAUAAUGACAAUGUUAUAUAAUCCUAUAUAUUUGUAAGUUACUUGAAGUCAUUGCUCUUUGUCAUUUGCUCUUUGCCGUUUUGUGCUAUUGCAUUUCAAUAAAUAAAGGAUUUAUUUAAGUGGUCAGUCUGGUGCUUUUGCAAGUGUUUGUGUGUGUGUGUGUGUGUGCACUUGCAUGAGUGUUUGCAUGUUUAGUCACGCAGAAUUGUACUGUUGUAUACUCAGGCCCUUUGAUCUUUUCACCCUAGAACAAGCCCCGUUCCAACCAUGUUAGUUUUGCUUGCCUGCUAUGUGCAACAUGUGAGGCUUGUUUGACCACAUGGUUUGAGGAAGGCUCUUGUGAAAACCUCAGCAGGACACAUCUCCAGUCCAAAACACAUCUGUCAGCACGUAAGAUUUACGUCAGAGGUGGUUAAGUGUACUUUCCGUGGUGCUUCGCCUUGACUACAGCACGUGUCUACACUAAGCAGUCACGGGUGUGCAUGUCUAUAGAUGUCAUCCAUCAGUGUGAUUCUACACACAUACCUUACCUAUUCAUUGUACUUAAGAGCGGAUACAAAAAAGCAAGAGUUUCAGAUUGUUGCACUGGUACAUGGCCUUCCAGGACCAGCUUUUCUGCUUGCAUGGUCUGGACAAGACCACAAGAUGGCAAUCAUAACAGGCCCCUCUGGGUGUCCAGUUAACAUUUUAGUGUGUAAUAAAACAAGAGGCGGAGAUGCAGUUACAUUAGUGACAUCACCACGACUCAUGACAAUAAAACAAUACAUUUUACGUCAGAUAGAUAGACAGACAGACAGACAGAUAGAUAGAUAGAUAGAUAGAUAAAUGCAGAGAUAGUAAGUGAGAAUGCUUGGUCGGACUCAACGCACAUGUCAUGAGUCAUGUAUCGAAGAGAGGAAGCAGUGACCAGACGGCGC